GCCGGGGUGGCUGAGCGGUUUAGGCGGCCGGCUGCAGACCGGCUCUACACCGGUUCAAAUCCGGUCCCCGGCUCCA
rnacentral:tRNA from 1 species